ensembl:lncRNA
UUUUUGAUAAAGCUUAUAGUUAAGACUAGAUCAGUUGACCCUGAACAAACCCUUAAUAUUGCAGCACUAGUCUCUAAGUGCUGCAAGAUUUCAUGUAAUAUACUGUGAUGCACUGCGCACUUCUCCUCCACUCACCUCCUUUCACUCCCUACAUGUUUACAUAGCUCUGCAGAAUGUUGACUGUCUGUGCUCUUUCUUUCCUUGUGUCUUUCUUCUUUUCUCUUUUCCCCACACCCCUCAGCUGGUCAUGGCAGAUGGUUGCCUUGCCCUGAUCCAGGUCCUACUGGAGUGUUUCCUUCUGUUAAAAGGAAGUUUUUCCUUCCCAUCGUAGUAAAGUGCUUGCUCAUAAUUUAAUUGUUGGGAUUUUCUCCCAAACACUGUAAAGUACGUCCAUUACACUAAGGUGACUGUUGGUUUGAUCUGUUGACCAGUGAGUUUCAGACCUGCUGCCGCUUAUACCCUGAAGAUCGCUUGUGUGAUUUUCCAUUUAGCUCCCAUACUCUCCAUCUUACUAACUUCAAACAACUAAAAAAAAAAUCACCUUAACUUAAAUAAAACCUACACUAUCGUUGCCUUACAUUUCUAUUUCUGUCUUGUACUGAAGUGUGCCUUUGCCACUAUUUCUAGUCAUUUGCCAUUAUUAUAUACUACCAUCAUGGAUAACAGAUAGUCCUUUUUGCUACCAAUAGUAUUGCUUUUGCAUCACAGGUGGGAGAAUUUCUACGUAUACAUCCAAAAAUAAACACGUCUGUUUCCCAUUAAGGCAAAGCUGCAUGUGUCUUUCUAUCCAGACCAGUGGGUCCACCGCCCAGAUGUUUUUUCUGCCCCCCUCAGGGGCUAUGACACCAACAGAGUAAAUUCACAGACUCCGCCCUCAGCACCAUAGGCUCCAAUCGAAGCUGAAGUGAAGCCGUUUCAGAACAUUUUGCUCUACAUAUUUGAGUUGUUUGCCAUGCUUGGAUAUGCUUGUGAAGAUGGAAUAUGGGGGAGAGCAGAAGUGCGUUGAAGUUCCACAAAGGGAUGAAUGAAGGACAUGCAUAUUGUAUUAAAGAAAUAAGUCAUGAGAAUGCUGUUAUUUGCAUUUACCAUGUCAGACCUUUUGAUAAACAAAAUUCUAAUGAAAGUGAGAACAUGUAUACUGUUACAUCUUUCAGAAAAUGUUUUGAAAUUGGGGUGCACAGUUCAGAAUAAAUGUUUUUCAAAAACCA